rnacentral:rRNA from 1 species
GCCUGCCCAGUGACCAUGUGUUUAACGGCCGCGGUAUUCUGACCGCGCGAAGGUAGCGUAAUCACUUGUUUUCUAAAUAAAGACUAGUAUGAACGGCUACACGAGGACUUGACUGUCUCCCUCAUCCAAUCAGUGAAACUAAUCUCCUUGUGCAGAAGCGAGGAUAAACCCAUUAGACGAGAAGACCCUAUGGAGCUUUAAACUUAACAUUAACUUUACUAACCUUUUUUCCCAGGAAUCAACAGAUAAAUUUUUUAACUUAACGUAAGUUUUAGGUUGGGGCGACCGUGGAGAAAAAAAAAUCCUCCCUGAUGACUUCUAACCAAGAGCCACAGCUCUAAAUAUUAAGACGCUUAACUUCUAUUGACCCAUUUUUUGAUCAACGAACCAAGUUACCCUAGGGAUAACAGCGCAAUCCAUUUCAAGAGUCCCUAUCGACAAAUGGGUUUACGACCUCGAUGUUGGAUCAGGGUAUCCUAGUGGUGCAACCGCUACUAAUGGUUCGUUUGUUCAACGAUUAAAACCCU